rnacentral:rRNA from 1 species
CCUGGCUUAGAACGAACGCUGGCGGCGUGCUUAACACAUGCAAGUCGAACGCGAAAGGGACUUCGGUCCUGAGUAAAGUGGCGCACGGGUGAGUAACGCGUAGAUAACCUGUCUUCAUGUCUGGAAUAAUACGCCGAAAGGGGUACUAAUACCGGAUAUUCUUGCUUUUCAUAAGUUAUGCAAGCAAAGGUGGCCUCUGCAUAUGCUACUGCAUGAAGAGGGGUCUGCGUACCAUUAGGCUAGUAGGUGGGGUAAUGGCCUACCUAGGCGACGAUGGUUAGCGGGUCUGAGAAGAUGAUCCGCCACACUGGCACUGGAACACGGGCCAGACUCCUACGGGAGGCAGCAGUGAGGAAUAUUGCGCAAUGGGGGAAGCCCUGACGCAGCGACGCCGCGUGAAGUGAGGAAGGCCUUCGGGUCGUAAAGCUCUGUCAAGAGGAAAGAAGUGUACAAUGGCUAAUACCUGUUGUAUUUGACGGUACCUCUAAAGGAAGCACCGGCUAACUCCGUGCCAGCCGCUGC